AUAUAAAUAAGCGGAGGAAAAGAAACUAACAAGGAUUGACAUAGUAAGGGCGACUGAACUGUCAUGAGCUCACCGUGUGAAUCAGCGUACGUGAGUGCGCCGAAUUGUGGUCUGGAGGUGUAUGCAUUAUGUGUGCUGGGCAAAGUCCUUUGGAACAGGGCAGCAUAGAGGGUGAUACUCCCGUUUGUCCGGUGCCUGGAGCGUGUACCAAUGAGUCGAGUUGUUUGGGAUUGCAGCUCAAAGCCGGUGGUAAAUUCCAUCUAAAGCUAAAUAUUGGUGGGAGACCGAUAGCGCACAAGUA
rnacentral:rRNA from 1 species